AACGUAGGAGGCGAGCGUUAUCCGGAUUCACUGGGCGUAAAGCGCGUGUAGGCGGCUCGUCAAGUCGGUUGUGAAAGCCCCUGGCUCAACUGGGGGAGGUCAGCCGAGACUGAUGGGCUUGAGGGUCAGAGAGGAAGGUGGAAUUCCCGGUGUAGCGGUGGAAUGCGUAGAGAUCGGGAGGAACACCAGUGGCGAAGGCGGCCUUCUGGCUGACAGCUGACGCUGAGACGCGAAAGCGUGGGUAGCAAACGGG
rnacentral:rRNA from 1 species